AACGAACGCUGGCGGCAGGCUUAACACAUACAAGUCGAGCGCCCCGCAAGGGGAGCGGCAGACGGGUGAGUAACGCGUGGGAAUCUACCCAUCUCUACGGAAUAACGCAUGGAAACGUGUGCUAAUACCGUAUACGUCCUUCGGGAGAAAGAUUUAUCGGAGAUGGAUGAGCCCGCGUUGGAUUAGCUAGUUGGUGGGGUAAAGGCCUACCAAGGCGACGAUCCAUAGCUGGUCUGAGAGGAUGAUCAGCCACACUGGGGCUGAGACACGGCCCAGACUCCUACGGGAGGCAGCAGUGGGGAAUAUUGGACAAUGGGCGCAAGCCUGAUCCAGCCAUGCCGCGUGAGUGAUGAAGGCCCUAGGGUUGUAAAGCUCUUUCACCGGUGAAGAUAAUGACGGUAACCGGAGAAGAAGCCCCGGCUAACUUUGUGCCAGCCGCCGCCGUAACAC
rnacentral:rRNA from 1 species